rnacentral:rRNA from 1 species
GUGGGGAAUAUUGGACAAUGGGCGCAAGCCUGAUCCAGCAAUGCCGCGUGCAGGAAGAAGGCCUUCGGGUUGUAAACUGCUUUUGUACGGAACGAAAAGGCUCUGGUUAAUACCUGGGGCUCAUGACGGUACCGUAAGAAUAAGCACCGGCUAACUACGUGCCAGCAGCCGCGGUAAUACGUAGGGUGCGAGCGUUAAUCGGAAUUACUGGGCGUACAGCGUGCGCAGGUGACUGCAGUGCUGGAGUGCGGCAGAGGGUGAUGGAAUUCCGCGUGUAGCAGUGAAAUGCGUAGAUAUGCGGAGGAACACCGAUGGCGAAGGCAAUCCCCUGGGCCUGCACUGACGCUCAUGCACGAAAGCGUGGGGAGCAAACAGGAUUAGAAACCCUUGUAGUCC